rnacentral:pre_miRNA from 1 species
CAUGUACUCCCUCCGUCCGGAAAUACUUGUCAUCAAAAUGAAUAAAAGGGGAUGUAUCUAGAUGUAUUUUAGUUCUAGAUACAUCCUUUUUUGUCCAUUUUGAUGACAAGUAUUUUCGGACGGAGGGAGUAAUAC